UUUCGAAUCAUUCACAAUGGGCGAAAGCCUGAUGGUGCGACGCCGCGUGAGGGAUGAAGGUCUUCGGAUUGUAAACCUCUGUCACCGGGGAAGAAACGCUUUGAGUUAAUAGUUCAAAGCCUGACUUAACCCGGAGAGGAAGCAGUGGCUAACUCUGUGCCAGCAGCCGCGGUAAUACAGAGACUGCAAGCGUUAUUCGGAUUCACUGGGCGUAAAGGGUGCGCAGGCGGCCGUGUGUGUGAGGCGUGAAAGCCCGGGGCUUAACCCCGGAAUUGCACCUCAAACUACAUGGCUAGAGCAUUGGAGAGGGUAGCAGAAUUCAUGGUGUAGCAGUGAAAUGCGUAGAUAUCAUGAGGAAUACCAGAGGCGAAGGCGGCUACCUGGACAAUUGCUGACGCUCAGGCACGAAAGCGUGGGGAGCAAAAG
rnacentral:rRNA from 1 species